rnacentral:rRNA from 1 species
CGGCGUGCCUAACACAUGCAAGUCGAACGAGAAAGUGGAGCAAUCCAUGAGUACAGUGGCGACCGGGUGAGUAACACGUGACCAACCUACCCUCGAGUGGGGAAUAACUCCGGGAAACCGGAGCUAAUACCGCAUAACAUCGCAAGAUCAAAGCCGCAAGGCGCUUGAGGAGGGGGUCGCGGCUGAUUAGCUAGUUGGUAGGGUAACGGCCUACCAAGGCGAAGGUCGGUAGCCGGCCUGAGAGGGCGCACGGCCACACUGGAACUGAAACACGGUCCAGACUCCUACGGGAGGCAGCAGUGGGGAAUUUUGCGCAAUGGGGGAAACCCUGACGCAGCAACGCCGCGUGGAGGAUGAAGUCCCUUGGGACGUAAACUCCUUUCGACCGGGACGAUACUGACGGUACCGGAAGAAGAAGCACCGGCUAACUCUGUGCCAGCAGCCGCGGUAAUACAGAGGGUGCGAGCGUUGUUCGGAAUUAUUGGGCGUAAAGGGCGCGUAGGCGGUGCGGUAAGUCACCUGUGAAAUCUCCUG